rnacentral:rRNA from 1 species
CAGUCGACGGGAUCUUCGGAUUCUAGUGGCGGACGGGUGAGUAACGCGUAAGAAUCUAACUUCAGGACGGGGACAACAGUUGGAAACGACUGCUAAUACCCGAUAUGCCGCGAGGUGAAACCUAAUUGGCCUGAAGAAGAGCUUGCGUCUGAUUAGCUAGUUGGUGGGGUAAGAGCCUACCAAGGCGACGAUCAGUAGCUGGUCUGAGAGGAUGGGCAGCCACACUGGGACUGAGACACGGCCCAGACUCCUACGGGAGGCAGCAGUGGGGAAUUUUCCGCAAUGGGCGAAAGCCUGACGGAGCAACGCCGCGUGAGGGAGGAAGGUCUUUGGAUUGUAAACCUCUUUUCUCAAGGAAGAAGUUCUGACGGUACUUGAGGAAUCAGCCUCGGCUAACUCCGUGCCAGCAGCCGCGGUAAUACGGGGGAGGCAAGCGUUAUCCGGAAUUAUUGGGCGUAAAGCGUCCGCAGGUGGUCAGCCAAGUCUGCUGUCAAAUCAGGUUGCUUAACGACCUAAAGGCGGUGGAAACUGGCAGACUAGAGAGCAGUAGGGGUAGCAGGAAUUCCCAGUGUAGCGGUGAAAUGCGUAGAGAUUGGGAAGAACAUCGGUGGCGAAAGCGUGCUACUGGGCUGUAUCUGACACUCAGGGACGAAAGCUAGGGGAGCGAAAGGGAUUAGAUACCCCUGUAGUCCUAGCCGUAAACGAUGGAUACUAGGCGUGGCUUGUAUCGACCCGAGCCGUGCCGAAGCUAACGCGUUAAGUAUCCCGCCUGGGGAGUACGCACGCAAGUGUGAAACUCAAAGGAAUUGACGG